rnacentral:rRNA from 1 species
GAUGAACGCUAGCGGGAGGCUUAAUACAUGCAAGUCGAGCGGUAAGGUUUUCGGACCCUAGAGCGGCGAACGGGUGAGUAACGCGUACGAAACCUGCCUUUAAGAGAGGAAUAGCCCUGGGAAACUGGGAGUAAUGCCUCAUAGUAUUCAUUUACCGCAUGGUUUAUGGAUUAAAGCUACGGCGCUUAAAGAUGGUCGUGCGUGCUAUUAGCUAGUUGGUGAGGUAACGGCUCACCAAGGCUACGAUAGCUAGGGGGCGUGAGAGCGUGGCCCCCCACACGGGUACUGAGACACGGACCCGACUCCUACGGGAGGCAGCAGUAAGGAAUAUUGGACAAUGGUCGAAAGACUGAUCCAGCCAUCCCGCGUGCAGGAUGACUGCCCUAUGGGUUGUAAACUGCUUUUAUAUGGAAGAAUAGCAUAGAUUCAUCUGUGUAUGACGGUACCAUAUGAAUAAGCACGGCUAACUCCGUGCCAGCAGCC